rnacentral:rRNA from 1 species
UAGAGUUUGAUCCUGGCUCAGAACGAACGCUGGCGGUAUGCUUAACACAUGCAAGUCGUACGUGAAAGUUUCCUUCGGGAGGCAAGUAAAGUGGCGCACGGGUGAGUAACACGUGGAUAAUCUACCCGACAAUUUGGGAUAACAUUUCGAAAGGAAUGCUAAUACCAAAUAAGCCCACGGGGUGUCUUCGGACGCAGUGGGAAAAGGUGGGGACCUUCGGGCCUACCGUUGUCGGAUGAGUCCGCGUCCCAUUAGCUAGUUGGUAGGGUAACGGCCUACCAAGGCAACGAUGGGUAGCUGGUCUGAGAGGACGAUCAGCCACACUGGAACUGAGACACGGUCCAGACUCCUACGGGAGGCAGCAGUGGGGAAUUUCGCACAAUGGGGGAAACCCUGAUGCAGCAACGCCGCGUGCGGGAUGAAGGCCUUCGGGUUGUAAACCGCUGUCAGGGGGGAAGAAAUCGCUCCGGUGAAUAGCCGGAGUGGAUGACGGUACCCCCAGAAGAAGCCCCGGCUAACUCCGUGCCAGCAGCCGCGGUAAUACGGGGGGGGCAAGCGUUACUCGGAAUCAUUGGGCGUAAAGAGCGUGUAGGCGGUUAAGUAAGUCCCGGGUGAAAUCCCUUGGCUCAACCAAGGAACUGCCUUGGAUACUGCUUGACUUGAGUUCGGGAGAGGAGAGUGGAAUUCCCAGUGUAGCGGUGAAAUGCGUAGAUAUUGGGAGGAACACCGGUGGCGAAGGCGGCUCUCUGGACCGAUACUGACGCUGAGACGCGAAAGCUAGGGGAGCAAACAGGAUUAGAUACCCUGGUAGUCCUAGCUGUAAACGAUGGGCACUUGGUGUUGCGGGUAUCGACCCCUGCAGUGCCGAAGCUAACGCAUUAAGUGCCCCGCCUGGGGAGUACGGCCGCAAGGCUGAAACUCAAAGGAAUUGACGGGGGCCCGCACAAGCGGUGGAGCAUGUGGUUUAAUUCGAUGCAACGCGAAGAACCUUACCUGGGCUUGAACUGUAGUGGAAAACUUCAGAGAUGAAGUCCCUUCUUCGGAGCUCGUAUACAGGUGCUGCAUGGCUGUCGUCAGCUCGUGUCGUGAGAUGUUGGGUUAAGUCCCGCAACGAGCGCAACCCCUGCUCCCAGUUGCCAGCGGUUCGGCCGGGGACUCUGGGGGGACUGCCGGUGAUAAACCGGAGGAAGGGGGGGAUGACGUCAAGUCCUCAUGGCCUUUAUGCCCAGGGCUACACACGUGCUACAAUGGCCGGUACAAAGGGUUGCAAAGCCGCGAGGUGGAGCUAAUCCCAAAAAGCCGGCCUCAGUUCGGAUUGGAGUCUGCAACUCGACUCCAUGAAGUUGGAAUCGCUAGUAAUCGCGGAUCAGCAGGCCGUGGGUGAAUACGUUCCCGGGCCUUGUACACACCGCCCGUCACAUCACGAAAGCGGGCUGUACUAGAAGUCGCUGAGCUAACCCUCACUUCGGUGGAGGAGGCAGGCGCCCAUGGUAUGAUUGGUGAUUGGGGUGAAGUCGUAACAAGGUAACC